CAGCAGCCGCGGUAAUACCGGCGGCCCGAGUGGCGGUCACUAUUAUUGGGCUUAAAGCGUCCGUAGCCGGGUUGGGAAGUCCUCCGGGAAAUCUGGCCGCUUAACGGUCAGAAUGCCGGAGGAUACUCCCAGCCUAGGGAGCGGGAGAGGCCGAGGGGAUUCCCGGAGUAGGGGUGGAAUCCUAUAAUCCCGGGAGGACCACCUGUGGCGAAGGCGCUCGGCUGGAACGCGUCCGACGGUGAGGGACGAAGGCCAGGGGAGCAAACCGGAUUAGAUACCCGGGUAGUCCUGGCUGUGAACGAUGCGGACUUUGUGUCGGACAAGCUAUGAGCUUGUCCGGUGCCGGAGGGAAACCGUUAAGUCCGCCGCCUGGGGAGUACGGCCGCAAGGCUGAAACUUAAAGGAAUUGGCCGG
rnacentral:rRNA from 1 species